rnacentral:tRNA from 1 species
UCCUCAGUAGCUCAAUGGUAGAGGUCGGCAGUUUGCUUGCCGAAGUGUAGGUUCGAAUCCUGCCUGGGGAA